AUUGAACGCUGGCGGCAGGCCUAACACAUGCAAGUCGAGCGGAUGAAGGGAGCUUGCUCCUGGAUUCAGCGGCGGACGGGUGAGUAAUGCCUAGGAAUCUGCCUGUUAGUGGGGGAUAACGUCCGGAAACGGGCGCUAAUACCGCAUACGUCCUGAGGGAGAAAGUGGGGGAUCUUCGGACCUCACGCUAUCAGAUGAGCCUAGGUCGGAUUAGCUAGUUGGUGGGGUAAAGGCCCACCAAGGCGACGAUCCGUAACUGGUCUGAGAGGAUGAUCAGUCACACUGGAACUGAGACACGGUCCAGACUCCUACGGGAGGCAGCAGUGGGGAAUAUUGGACAAUGGGUGAAAGCCUGAUCCAGCCAUGCCGCGUGUGUGAAGAAGGUCUUCGGAUUGUAAAGCACUUUAAGUUGGGAGGAAGGGCAGUAAGUUAAUACCUUGCUGUUUUGACGUUACCAACAGAAUAAGCACCGGCUAACUUCGUG
rnacentral:rRNA from 1 species